rnacentral:rRNA from 1 species
AUUGAACGCUGGCGGCAGGCCUAACACAUGCAAGUCGAGCGGAUGAAGGGAGCUUGCUCCUGGAUUCAGCGGCGGACGGGUGAGUAAUGCCUAGGAAUCUGCCUGGUAGUGGGGGAUAACGUCCGGAAACGGGCGCUAAUACUGCAUACGUCCUGAGGGAGAAAGUGGGGGAUCUUCGGACCUCACGCUAUCAGAUGAGCCUAGGUCGGAUUAGCUAGUUGGUGGGGUAAAGGCCUACCAAGGCGACGAUCCGUAACUGGUCUGAGAGGAUGAUCAGUCGCACUGGAACUGAGACACGGUCCAGACUCCUACGGGAGGCAGCAGUGGGGAAUAUUGGACAAUGGGCGAAAGCCUGAUCCAGCCAUGCCGCGUGUGUGAAGAAGGUCUUCGGAUUGUAAAGCACUUUAAGUUGGGAGGAAGGGCAGUAAGUUAAUACCUUGCUGCUUUGACGUUACCAACAGAAUAAGCACCGGCUAACUUCGUG